AUUGAACGCUGGCGGCAUGCCUUACACAUGCAAGUCGAACGGCAGCGGGCCUUCGGGUGCCGGCGAGUGGCGAACGGGUGAGUAAUGCAUCGGAACGUGCCAUUGAGUGGGGGAUAACGUAGCGAAAGUUGCGCUAAUACCGCAUAUUCUGUGAGCAGGAAAGCAGGGGAUCGCAAGACCUUGCGCUCUGGGAGCGGCCGAUGUCGGAUUAGCUAGUUGGUGGGGUAAAGGCCUACCAAGGCGACGAUCCGUAGCGGGUCUGAGAGGAUGAUCCGCCACACUGGGACUGAGACACGGCCCAGACUCCUACGGGAGGCAGCAGUGGGGAAUUUUGGACAAUGGGCGGAAGCCUGAUCCAGCCAUGCCGCGUGAGUGAAGAAGGCC
rnacentral:rRNA from 1 species